rnacentral:rRNA from 1 species
UUGCUAGGUGAACCUGCGGAAGGGUCAUUACCGUAGUGAGGGCCCUCUCGGUCCAACCUCCCACCCGUGUUUAUUUUUACCUUGUUGCUUCGGCGGGCCCGCCUUAACUGGCCGCCGGGGGGCUUACGCCCCCGGGCCCGCGCCCGCCGAAGACACCCUCGAACUCUGUCUGAAGAUUGUAGUCUGAGUGAAAAUAUAAAUUAUUUAAAACUUUCAACAACGGAUCUCUUGGUUCCGGCAUCGAUGAAGAACGCAGCGAAAUGCGAUACGUAAUGUGAAUUGCAAAUUCAGUGAAUCAUCGAGUCUUUGAACGCACAUUGCGCCCCCUGGUAUUCCGGGGGGCAUGCCUGUCCGAGCGUCAUUUCUGCCCUCAAGCACGGCUUGUGUGUUGGGCCCCGUCCUCCGAUCCCGGGGGACGGGCCCGAAAGGCAGCGGCGGCACCGCGUCCGGUCCUCGAGCGUAUGGGGCUUUGUCACCCGCUCUGUAGGCCCGGCCGGCGCUUGCCGAUCAACCCAAAUUUUAUCCAGGUGACCUCGGAUCAGUACUGAACCUUUAACAAAACCAGG